rnacentral:piRNA from 1 species
CGAGGAGAACUUGGUUUUGGUGGA